UCUUAAUGGGGUGACUGCGUACCUUUUGUAUAAUGGGUCAGCGACUUAUAUUCUGUAGCAAGGUUAACCGAAUAGGGGAGCCGAAGGGAAACCGAGUCUUAACUGGGCGUUAAGUUGCAGGGUAUAGACCCGAAACCCGGUGAUCUAGCCAUGGGCAGGUUGAAGGUUGGGUAACACUAACUGGAGGACCGAACCGACUAAUGUUGAAAAAUUAGCGGAUGACUUGUGGCUGGGGGUGAAAGGCCAAUCAAACCGGGAGAUAGCUGGUUCUCCCCGAAAGCUAUUUAGGUAGCGCCUCGUGAAUUCAUCUCCGGGGGUAGAGCACUGUUUCGGCAAGGGGGUCAUCCCGACUUACCAACCCGAUGCAAACUGCGAAUACCGGAGAAUGUUAUCACGGGAGACACACGGCGGGUGCUAACGUCCGUCGUGAAGAGGGAAACAACCCAGACCGCCAGCUAAGGUCCCAAAGUCAUGGUUAAGUGGGAAACGAUGUGGGAAGGCCCAGACAGCCAGGAUGUUGGCUUAGAAGCAGCCAUCAUUUAAAGAAAGCGUAAUAGCUCACUGGUCGAGUCGGCCUGCGCGGAAGAUGUAACGGGGCUAAACCAUGCACCGAAGCUGCGGCAGCGACACUAUGUGUUGUUGGGUAGGGGAGCGUUCUGUAAGCCUGCGAAGGUGUACUGUGAGGUAUGCUGGAGGUAUCAGAAGUGCGAAUGCUGACAUAAGUAACGAUAAAGCGGGUGAAAAGCCCGCUCGCCGGAAGACCAAGGGUUCCUGUCCAACGUUAAUCGGGGCAGGGUGAGUCGACCCCUAAGGCGAGGCCGAAAGGCGUAGUCGAUGGGAAACAGGUUAAUAUUCCUGUACUUGGUGUUACUGCGAAGGGGGGACGGAGAAGGCUAUGUUGGCCGGGCGACGGUUGUCCCGGUUUAAGCGUGUAGGCUGAUUUUCCAGGCAAAUCCGGAAAAUCAAGGCUGAGGCGUGAUGACGAGGCACUACGGUGCUGAAGCAACAAAUGCCCUGCUUCCAGGAAAAGCCUCUAAGCAUCAGGUAACAUCAAAUCGUACCCCAAACCGACACAGGUGGUCAGGUAGAGAAUACCAAGGCGCUUGAGAGAACUCGGGUGAAGGAACUAGGCAAAAUGGUGCCGUAACUUCGGGAGAAGGCACGCUGAUAUGUAGGUGAAGUCCCUCGCGGAUGGAGCUGAAAUCAGUCGAAGAUACCAGCUGGCUGCAACUGUUUAUUAAAAACACAGCACUGUGCAAACACGAAAGUGGACGUAUACGGUGUGACGCCUGCCCGGUGC
rnacentral:rRNA from 1 species